ACCCCUCCACCAAAAUGUGACCACUGUCACAAGAAGGGUCACAUUAAAGAAAAUUGCUAGGAGAUAGUAGGAUUCCCAGCUAACUUUAAAGGAUUUAAAGGAAAGCAUAAUUCAGAAGCCAAAGGAAGACAGAAUGUAGUAAAUCAGGAGGCAGAGGCCCUCACAAAUGUGUCAAUGUUUUCCCCGGCUUCACACCUGAACAUUGCUCGAACUACUGAAGAAAGAUUCCCCCACUGAUGCACAUGCACUCAGUGGUUUUGAGUCAGUUCAUGCAACAGCCAAUGAAAUCACACUAGGUAGUAGCUGUGGGGGUCCUAAGAUAUCUAAAACAAUCACCAGGACUUGGGAUUAAGCUAAGCUUAAUGGGGACCUGAACUUAAAAUGCUUCUGUGAUUUAGAUUGACAAUCGUGCGAGACCACGUGUAGGUCAGUCACUGGUUAUCUUCUCAAAUUAGGAGAUACCCUUAUUAUCUGGAAAACAAAGAAGCAGGCGACAGUCUCAAGGUCUUUGGCUGAAGUUGAAUAUAGGGCUCUUGGUUCAGCUAUGUCAGAAGUCAUUUGGGUUAAAGGUCUGUUAUCUGAUUUAAGGAUUCCUAUAGAAGGUCCAGUGGAUGUAUAUUGUGACAGCAAAUCAGCCAUCCACAUUGCCACAGAUCCAGUAUUUCAUGAGAGGACAAAACAUAUUGAAAUAGAUUGCCACUUUGUUCAAGAGAAAGUGACAGAAGGAAUAGUGAAGUUUCAGUAUGUGUUUUCUACCAAUCAGGAGGCAGAUAUAUUAACAAAGCCAGUAGGAAAAGAGACUCAGUUACGGUUGCUUAGCAAGUUAGGAGCUUCCAAUUUAUUCAGCCCCAAACUUGAGAGGGAGUAUUGAGUUAUUGUAAUGUUUUGCUUUACUUUGGUUUGGGCCUAGGAAUUGUUUAGUUGAGCCCAUCUAGUGCAUUGGCCUAUAUAUAGACAGGCCCUGUUGUUUCAAACACAAUUUUUUCAGUCAAUAACAAAGAUGAAUUUAGUA